rnacentral:rRNA from 1 species
AGAGUUUGAUCAUGGCUCAGGAUGAACGCUAGCUACAGGCUUAACACAUGCAAGUCGAGGGGAAACGACAUCGAAAGCUUGCUUUUGUAUGGGCGUCGACCGGCGCACGGGUGAGUAACGCGUAUCCAACCUGCCCACCACUUGGGGAUAACCUUGCGAAAGUAAGACUAAUACCCAAUGACGUCUCUAGAAGACAUCUGAAAGAGAUUUAAAAGAUUUAUCGGUGAUGGAUGGGGAUGCGUCUGAUUAGCUUGUUGGCGGGGUAACGGCCACCAAGGCGACGAUCAGUAGGGGUUCUGAGAGGAAGGUCCCCCACAUUGGAACUGAGACACGGUCCAAACUCCUACGGGAGCA